rnacentral:rRNA from 1 species
AUGGAACUUAACCACAACGGGUACGGCUACUACGACAACAAUGGGUCCUAUACAAAUGAUGGCAACCCAUGCUACUACGGCAUGAGCUAUGCCACUUCCGAGCCCUCCUAUGGCUACCAAUACCAGCAGUCUGCUUCUACCCAGCCCCAGUCCUCCUACGACAACCACUACUACCAGUACGACAUCACCAACUCUUCCUCCUCUGCGGCUCCGUCCUACGCCGCCGCCGACGACAUUGCCCCUUACGCGCAGGAGCAGCACCCACAGUACCUCAAUUUCGGCGGCAGCAGCUAUCAGUACGAUGGCGCCGCGAGUGCUAUGGGCAUGGGCAUGGGCAUGGGCAUGGACCAGUUCAGCGCGCUCAUGGAGGCCACGUCUAUCUCACCUGCUGCACCAUCCUGGGCGGAGCAGCAGGAGGCAAAGAAGGCCAAGGCAGAGACUCCGCAGCUGAUCGGCGUGCGGAGGCGGCCGUGGGGCAAGUACGCGGCGGAGAUCCGGGACUCCACGCGCGGCGGCGAGCGCGUGUGGCUGGGCACCUUCGACACCCCGGAGGCCGCCGCGCUGACCUACGACCAGGCGGCCUACACGUCCCGCGGACCCGCGGCCGUGCUCAAUUUCCCGGUGGAGCGAGUCCGGGAGUCGCUGCGCGUGCUGAAGCUCGGCAAAGCCGCGGCCGCGGGGGAGGACGACUCGCCCGUGCUGGCGCUCAAGAGGCGCCACUGCAUGCGGAAGCGCACUCCCAAGGGCAAGGGCCAGGAGGGUGACAUGAAGAAGCAACCUGGUGGUGCUGCUGCUGCGUCGAGCGUGCUGGAGCUGGAGGACCUGGGAGCAGACUACUUGGAAGAGCUGCUCGCAUUGUCCGAG